UACGAAGGGGACUAGCGUUGUUCGGAAUCACUGGGCGUAAAGCGCACGUAGGCGGAUUUGUAAGUCAGGGGUGAAAUCCCAGAGCUCAACUCUGGAACUGCCUUUGAUACUGGGUAUCUUGAGUAUGGAAGAGGUAAGUGGAAUUGCGAGUGUAGAGGUGAAAUUCGUAGAUAUUCGCAGGAACACCAGUGGCGAAGGCGGCUUACUGGUCCAUAACUGACGCUG
rnacentral:rRNA from 1 species